UACGUAGGUGACAAGCGUUGUCCGGAUUUACUGGGCGUAAAGAGCGCGCAGGCGGUCGUUCAAGUCGAGUGUGAAAGCCCCCGGCUCAACUGGGGAGGGUCAUUCGAUACUGUUCGACUUGAAGGCAGGAGAGGGAAGCAGAAUUCCCGGUGUAGUGGUGAAAUGCGUAGAUAUCGGGAGGAAUACCAGUGGCGAAGGCGGCUUCCUGGCCUGUUCUUGACGCUGAGGCGCGAAAGCUGGGGGAGCAAACGGG
rnacentral:rRNA from 1 species